UCUUCUUCUUCUUCUUCUUCUUCCUCUUCCUUCUUCUCUUCUCCUCUCUGUUUUUCCUUCGUUCUUCAGCUGGGUGAUGGUUGAGAAAAUAAAUCAGUGAUUAGGAGAUGAAUAAAGAUGAGAUGGCUUAUGCAUUGUCUGUUGGUGGUGGUGUUGCUUAGGGUAGAUGAUUCGGAGUUGAUGAAAAGAGUUUCUGAAUUCAUUGAAGAUGUGAUUUGAGAUGAUUAAGGAGAAACUAAUGAGUGGGAUUUGAAUAGCUUGAGUUAAAGAAGAAGAUUAUGAUGUUAAUUUGAGGAUUCAGUUAGUAAGAAGAACUUUAAUUGGGAAAUUAAGAAAUUAGGGUUUCAUCUGAUUUGAGGUUGUUUGGAGUCGAUUAAGUUUAUGGGGGCGAUGAUUGAUGAGAAUUAAGAUGGGUUGUUGUUGAACCAUCGAUUGGAAGAUACUCUGAUGAAGAAUCACGAAACCAGGUAAAUUAGGGUUCUUCAAUUUGAAUUUGUUUUCUUGUAAAUUUGAUAAUAGAAGAUGGAUGUUAGAUGGGUUUGUAUGUGAAUGAGAUAGAUUGAAAGAAUGAAAACGGUGGUGAUGAAUAUGAUGAGCUGGGUUGUUGUUGAUCUGAGUUGCAGAUGUAGUAUUGAUCUGGUAGUGUUAUUUUGAGUUGAGUUGAUAAAAUUGCUUAGUUUCUUUGUUUGGGAAUGAACCGGGUUUAAGAUAGUUGUGGAAUGGAGUUGUAAUGUGUUUAUGAUGAAUGGCAGGAUAUUUGUAUUGUGUUGAGAUGUAAUUGUGGAUGAAGUUACAAUUAGUAGAACUGUGUAUAUGAAUGAAUCAGUAAGUGUGCUGCCAUACUGAGAUUGAUAAGAUUGUGGAAUUAAGAAGUUGGGGUAUAAAAUGAUUUACACAGGGUGUUGAUGUCUGAAGUUGAUUACGGAGGAUUGGGAUGAAAAUGAGUUUAAGACAGGGUGUGUGUAGAAUUGGAACUGGGGACUGAAAAUGUAGAUGAUGGUAGUAAGGAUAUUGCAAGCAGUGUAAUAAUUGAUGAAGGUAUUGCCUGAGUUGGAUUUGAUGAAUGUAGAUGGUGGUGUUGUUGUUGCUUAGGGUUGUAAAUGCAAGGGAGUUGAAGUGUUGAAUGUUGCCUAGGAUUGGAAUUGCAGAUGGUAGUGACCUGAGAUGGUAUGAGUGGUGGUGUAGAAUGUUGCUGUAUCUUGAGUUGCGAGAGUAGAAAUUGUAUAGGAGUGUGGUGUAGAUUCACAGUUGGAUAGCCUUCUUGAAAGCCUGCUGCUACUGCAAUUGCAGUUAGUUAUUCACAACGAUCGAUUCAAAGGAUGAACCGGUAGAUCGUGGAUCUCGAGGUAGCCGUGGCUUGUCAUCAAAAGAGUUUUCAGAGACAGAUCAAGAUGUGCAUGUGGUGACGAAAGCUUCGAGGAUUUAAUUACGAUAGUUAGAUAACUUUCUGCUAUUUCUAAUUUGUAUUUAUAUUCUAUUUGCAAACCAGAACUAAUGUAUAUGUAUCACUUGGGAGGAGUUCUUGUAUAUGUAUUUCUGAGCGGGGUUAGUUCUUGGGUUAAGUUUUUGUAGCAGAUUUCUUAAUCGAAUGUUUAAGUAUUUGUUUUGGAUCGUA